UACGUAGGGUGCAAGCGUUAAUCGGAAUUACUGGGCGUAAAGCGUGCGCAGGCGGUUUUGUAAGACAGGUGUGAAAUCCCCGGGCUUAACCUGGGAACUGCAUUUGUGACUGCAUCGCUGGAGUGCGGCAGAGGGGGAUGGAAUUCCGCGUGUAGCAGUGAAAUGCGUAGAUAUGCGGAGGAACACCGAUGGCGAAGGCAAUCCCCUGGGCCUGCACUGACGCUCAUGCACGAAAGCGUGGGGAGCAAACAGG
rnacentral:rRNA from 1 species